GGGUUGUGAGGUUAAGCGACUAAGCGUACACGGUGGAUGCCCUGGCAGUCAGAGGCGAUGAAGGGCGUGCUAAUCUGCGAUAAGCGCCGGUAAGGUGAUAUGAACCGUUAUAACCGGCGAUACCCGAAUGGGGAAACCCAGUGUGAUUCGUCACACUAUCAUUAACUGAAUCCAUAGGUUAAUGAGGCGAACCGGGGGAACUGAAACAUCUAAGUACCCCGAGGAAAAGAAAUCAACCGAGAUUCCCCCAGUAGCGGCGAGCGAACGGGGAGGAGCCCAGAGCCUGAAUCAGCAUGUGUGUUAGUGGAAGCGUCUGGAAAGGCGCGCGAUACAGGGUGACAGCCCCGUACACAAAAGCGCAUGUGCUGUGAGCUCGAUGAGUAGGGCGGGACACGUGGUAUCCUGUCUGAAUAUGGGGGGACCAUCCUCCAAGGCUAAAUACUCCUGACUGACCGAUAGUGAACCAGUACCGUGAGGGAAAGGCGAAAAGAACCCCGGCGAGGGGAGUGAAAAAGAACCUGAAACCGUGUACGUACAAGCAGUGGGAGCCCCACCACUAAGCCAGUGGUGAACUCCACAUACGCAUCCUUUGCUGAGGAUACGGUUAACGGAGCGAAAGCGACGUUCAACCGCAAAAGAAGCAGAGGGGGCUUAGUGGUGGGGUGACUGCGUACCUUUUGUAUAAUGGGUCAGCGACUUAUAUUCUGUAGCAAGGUUAACCGAAUAGGGGAGCCGGAGGGAAACCGAGUCUUAACCGGGCGUUAAGUUGCAGGGUAUAGACCCGAAACCCGGUGAUCUAGCCAUGGGCAGGUUGAAGGUUGGGUAACACUAACUGGAGGACCGAACCGACUAAUGUUGAAAAAUUAGCGGAUGACCUGUGGCUGGGGGUGAAAGGCCAAUCAAACCGGGAGAUAGCUGGUUCUCCCCGAAAGCUAUUUAGGUAGCGCCUCGUGAAUUCAUCUCCGGGGGUAGAGCACUGUUUCGGCUAGGGGGCCAUCCCGGCUUACCAACCCGAUGCAAACUGCGAAUACCGGAGAAUGUUAUCACGGGAGACACACGGCGGGUGCUAACGUCCGUCGUGAAGAGGGAAACAACCCAGACCGCCAGCUAAGGUCCCAAAGUCAUGGUUAAGUGGGAAACGAUGUGGGAAGGCCCAGACAGCCAGGAUGUUGGCUUAGAAGCAGCCAUCAUUUAAAGAAAGCGUAAUAGCUCACUGGUCGAGUCGGCCUGCGCGGAAGAUGUAACGGGGCUAAACCAUGCACCGAAGCUGCGGCAGCGACACUGUGUGUUGUUGGGUAGGGGAGCGUUCUGUAAGCCUGCGAAGGUGGCCUGUGAGGGUUGCUGGAGGUAUCAGAAGUGCGAAUGCUGACAUAAGUAACGAUAAAGCGGGUGAAAAGCCCGCUCGCCGGAAGACCAAGGGUUCCUGUCCAACGUUAAUCGGGGCAGGGUGAGUCGACCCCUAAGGCGAGGCCGAAAGGCGUAGUCGAUGGGAAACGGGUUAAUAUUCCCGUACUUGGUGUUACUGCGAAGGGGGGACGGAGAAGGCUAUGUUGGCCGGGCGACGGUUGUCCCGGUUUAAGCGUGUAGGUGUGUGUUCCAGGUAAAUCCGGUUCACUUUAACACUGAGGCGUGAUGACGAGGCACUACGGUGCUGAAGCAACAAAUGCCCUGCUUCCAGGAAAAGCCUCUAAGCAUCAGGUAACAUCAAAUCGUACCCCAAACCGACACAGGUGGUCAGGUAGAGAAUACCAAGGCGCUUGAGAGAACUCGGGUGAAGGAACUAGGCAAAAUGGUGCCGUAACUUCGGGAGAAGGCACGCUGACACGUAGGUGAAGUGAUUUACUCAUGGAGCUGAAGUCAGUCGAAGAUACCAGCUGGCUGCAACUGUUUAUUAAAAACACAGCACUGUGCAAACACGAAAGUGGACGUAUACGGUGUGACGCCUGCCCGGUGCCGGAAGGUUAAUUGAUGGGGUCAGCGCAAGCGAAGCUCCUGAUCGAAGCCCCGGUAAACGGCGGCCGUAACUAUAACGGUCCUAAGGUAGCGAAAUUCCUUGUCGGGUAAGUUCCGACCUGCACGAAUGGCGUAAUGAUGGCCAGGCUGUCUCCACCCGAGACUCAGUGAAAUUGAACUCGCUGUGAAGAUGCAGUGUACCCGCGGCAAGACGGAAAGACCCCGUGAACCUUUACUAUAGCUUGACACUGAACAUUGAGCCUUGAUGUGUAGGAUAGGUGGGAGGCUUUGAAGUGUGGACGCCAGUCUGCAUGGAGCCGACCUUGAAAUACCACCCUUUAAUGUUUGAUGUUCUAACGUGGACCCGUUACCCGGGUUGCGGACAGUGUCUGGUGGGUAGUUUGACUGGGGCGGUCUCCUCCUAAAGAGUAACGGAGGAGCACGAAGGUUGGCUAAUCCUGGUCGGACAUCAGGAGGUUAGUGCAAUGGCAUAAGCCAGCUUGACUGCGAGCGUGACGGCGCGAGCAGGUGCGAAAGCAGGUCAUAGUGAUCCGGUGGUUCUGAAUGGAAGGGCCAUCGCUCAACGGAUAAAAGGUACUCCGGGGAUAACAGGCUGAUACCGCCCAAGAGUUCAUAUCGACGGCGGUGUUUGGCACCUCGAUGUCGGCUCAUCACAUCCUGGGGCUGAAGUAGGUCCCAAGGGUAUGGCUGUUCGCCAUUUAAAGUGGUACGCGAGCUGGGUUUAGAACGUCGUGAGACAGUUCGGUCCCUAUCUGCCGUGGGCGCUGGAGAACUGAGGGGGGCUGCUCCUAGUACGAGAGGACCGGAGUGGACGCAUCACUGGUGUUCGGGUUGUCAUGCCAAUGGCACUGCCCGGUAGCUAAAUGCGGAAGAGAUAAGUGCUGAAAGCAUCUAAGCACGAAACUUGCCCCGAGAUGAGUUCUCCCUGAGACUUAGAGUCUCCUGAAGGAACGUUGAAGACGACGACGUUGAUAGGCCGGGUGUGUAAGCGCAGCGAUGCGUUGAGCUAACCGGUACUAAUGAACCGUGAGGCUUAACCUUACAACGCCGAAG
rnacentral:rRNA from 1 species